AACGUAGGGGGCGAGCGUUAUCCGGAAUCACUGGGCGUAAAGGGCGUCUAGGCGGUCCAGUAAGUCCUGCGUGAAAGCUCCCGGCUCAACUGGGAGAGCGCGUGGGAGACUGUUGGGCUAGAGACUCGGAGAGGGGUGUGGAAUUCCCGGUGGAGUGGUGAAAUGCGUUGAGAUCGGGAGGAACACCAGUGGCGAAGGCGGCACCCUGGCCGAGUUCUGACGCUGAAGCGCGACAGCGUGGGGAGCGAACAGG
rnacentral:rRNA from 1 species